ACCAAAAAUUGCUACUAACAAUUUAAGAGACUUAAAAAAACAUCACGAGGAAGUGGUGACGGCAACGGAAUUAUUUUGAGUUAUUGGAGUUUGGAUCCCGCCACGAAGGAGGCCGUUGCAAGCACAAGAAAUAGUGAUAUAAAGGUGAGCAUGGAUUUUCCAGAGGGGAUCACCGAGAGGAUUGUGACCCUCCACGUGUGUACAGUUUUGUGUGUACCACUACUUUUACGCUGGCUCCCUCUAUUGUUCACUCCGAAACGUCGUCGAUUGUUUUGCCGUACAAGACAUGCUGUAUCUGAG